rnacentral:siRNA from 1 species
CUAGAUGCAUGUAUUAAGAG